CUCUCCCUGCUGAAGUACCACCAUGGAACUCCCCUCCCCAUGAGGUGGCCAGCAGGUGGCGGUUUGGAUUCGGAGGAAGAGUGGUUGGAAUUUUUAAAGUGCUGGCUGGGUGUCCACAGACAUUGGCACACGGGGGAAUCUGGGAGAGAAGAGAGCUGGUUCUGCCCAUGCCACCAUGUUCCGGCACCACACUGAGAAGUGCAAGAAUUCUACAGGCAACGCAGCCUCACCUUCCAGGUUAUUAAGAAGAUAUAGGUGUGAAGAAGUUCCAGUGAGUAGAACUUCACCUUGAGAUGGAAUUGUGUUCUCCCUAAAAGCAAACCCAAGAGCCACACUGGGUAAAGAGCUUUGUGGCCUGAACUGGAAUCCUGUCCAUGCUAAGUUUGGUGCUUCCAUAGGCUGAACUUAACAGGAAGUAGACAAGCAAGGCAAUCCAGAUGAUUUCAUUCUUAGUGGUCAGCCUCUGGGAGGAGAGCGAAUGGAUCUCAGUGGGAUUAGAGGAAACAGAAUUACCAAGUAAAUAAUUGCAGGCAGCACUGCAAGCAGAGGGAGCAGUAUGUACAGAGGCAGUGAGGUGUGAAAGACCAAAAAUUGUUGAGAAGCAUUUUGGAGUGCAUUGUCAUCAAAGCAGCUAAGGUUGGGUCAUUGGUAGAAGUAUUACAUAUCAAGCUCUGAGGUCUUUGGAAUUGGUUUUUGGGCAGGGAGUGGUAACAGUUCAGGGCAGAGAUGAAGAAAGAUUUGCUAAAUUAGUUGCAGAGAAAAAGGCAAGGUAUUUGGGACAUUUAUUUAAAAGAUGUGAUAAUGGCAGCUGCCAAAUGGUGGGGGUUGGGUGCCUUCCUAUUUGACAUGAGAUUACAAAUCUCAUCAACUCUGUGAGACAAGUAUUUUUCUCAUUUUCUCAAUUUUAAUUAUAAGACAUAAAAAUUGCUUGGAGUUGCCAGUGGGGCAUACCAGGAGUUCUAACCAAAGCUCUUGGAAAAUUGGAGAGAGGGGCAGAUCUGGACUUGGGAGACAUUCACCUUGUCCAUGUAAGAGUUGCAAUCAACAAUCGGGAUACUAUUUCUGUUGGUUCAGUAUUUAUAUAGGUUAUUUUUAUUGUUGGUAUAAUUGGCCUAUUCAACAUGGCAGGGCAGCUGGGAGAUCACAGAGGCUGUGGUUCAGCAUGGCAACA